rnacentral:misc_RNA from 1 species
AACUUUCGGGAACGGAUCUCUUGGCUCUGGCAUCGAUGAAGAACGCAGCGAAAUGCGAUAAGUAAUGUGAAUUGCAGAAUUCAGUGAAUCAUCGAAUCUUUGAACGCACAUUGCGCCCGCCAGUAUUCUGGCGGGCAUGCCUGUCCGAGCGUCAUUACAACCCUCAGGCCCCCGGGCCUGGCGUUGGGGAUCGGCGGAGCCCUCUGGGCACACGCCGCCCCCUAAAUCUAUUGGCGGUUUCGCUGCAGCCCACUGCGUAGUAGCUAACACCUCGCAACUGGAAAGCGGCGCGGCCAUGCCGUAAAACACCCAACUUUAUGAUGUUGACCUCGGAUCAGGUAGGAAUACCCGCUGAACUUAAGCAUAUCAAUAAGCGGAGGCU